rnacentral:rRNA from 3 species
AGCGCACACGGUGGAUGCCUAGGCGGUCAGAGGCGAUGAAGGACGUGGUAGCCUGCGAAAAGUGUCGGGGAGCUGGCAACAAGCUUUGAUCCGGCAAUAUCCGAAUGGGGAAACCCACUGCUUCGGCAGUAUCUUGCAGUGAAUUCAUAGCUGCUUGAAGCGAACCCGGUGAACUGAAAUAUCUAAGUAACCGGAGGAAAAGAAAUCAACCGAGAUUCCCUGAGUAGUGACGAGCGAACGGGGAACAGCCCUUAAGCUGGAAUGGCUUUAGAAAAACAAUCUGGAAAGAUUGGCCAUAGAAGGUGAUAGCCCUGUAUUUAAAAGGGCCACUCCAGUGAAGACGAGUAGGGCGGGGCACGUGAAACCCUGUCUGAAUAUGGGGGGACCAUCCUCCAAGGCUAAAUACUCCUGACCGACCGAUAGUGAACCAGUACCGUGAGGGAAAGGCGAAAAGAACCCCGGAGAGGGGAGUGAAAUAGAUCCUGAAACCGUGUGCGUACAAGCAGUAGGAGCUCGCAAGAGUGACUGCGUACCUUUUGUAUAAUGGGUCAGCGACUUACUGUUCGUGGCAAGCUUAACCGUAUAGGGGAGGCGAAGGGAAACCGAGUCUGAUAAGGGCGCAUAGUCGCGGGCAGUAGACCCGAAACCGGGUGAUCUAGUCAUGGCCAGGGUGAAGGUGCCGUAACAGGUACUGGAGGCCCGAACCCACGUCUGUUGCAAAAGACGGGGAUGAGCUGUGAUUAGGAGUGAAAAGCUAAUCGAACCCGGAGAUAGCUGGUUCUCCUCGAAAGCUAUUUAGGUAGCGCCUCGGACGAAUACUACUGGGGGUAGAGCACUGUUAUGGCUAGGGGGUCAUCGCGACUUACCAAACCAUUGCAAACUCCGAAUACCAGUAAGUACUAUCCGGGAGACACACGGCGGGUGCUAACGUCCGUCGUGAAAAGGGAAACAACCCAGACCCACAGCUAAGGUCCCAAAUUCACUGCUAAGUGGAAAACGAUGUGGAAAGGCAUAGACAGCCAGGAGGUUGGCUUAGAAGCAGCCACCCUUUAAAGAAAGCGUAAUAGCUCACUGGUCGAGUCGGUCUGCGCGGAAGAUUUAACGGGGCUAAGCAGUGAACCGAAGCUUGGGGUGCGUAAAACUUCGGUUUUAUGCGCGGUAGAGGAGCGUUCCGUAAGCCUGCGAAGGUGGAUUGAGAAGUCUGCUGGAGGUAUCGGAAGUGCGAAUGCUGACAUGAGUAACGAUAAUGCGGGUGAAAAGCCCGCACGCCGAAAGCCCAAGGUUUCCUUGCGCAACGUUAAUCGACGCAGGGUUAGUCGGUCCCUAAGGCGAGGGCGAAAGCCGUAGUCGAUGGGAAGCAGGUUAAUAUUCCUGCACCUCGCGUGAGUGCGAUGGAGGGACGGAGAAGGUUAGGUGUACCGGGCGUUGGUUGUCCCGGGGAAAGGCGGUAGGUUUGGAUCUUUGGCAAAUCCGGGAUCCUUUAAGACCGAGCACCGAGACGAGCCUUUAUGGCGAAGUCACUGAUACCACGCUUCCAGGAAAAGCUCCUAAGCUUCAGCUCACGAAGACCGUACCGUAAACCGACACAGGUGGGUAGGAUGAGAAUUCUCAGGCGCUUGAGAGAACUCGGGUGAAGGAACUAGGCAACAUGGCACCGUAACUUCGGGAGAAGGUGCACCCUUUUUGGUGGCUCAUGCGAGCUAUAGCUGAAGAGGGUCGCAGAAACCAGGCCGCUGCGACUGUUUAUCAAAAACACAGCACUCUGCAAACACGAAAGUGGACGUAUAGGGUGUGACGCCUGCCCGGUGCUGGAAGGUUAAUUGAUGGGGUCAGCCGCAAGGCGAAGCUCUUGAUCGAAGCCCCAGUAAACGGCGGCCGUAACUAUAACGGUCCUAAGGUAGCGAAAUUCCUUGUCGGGUAAGUUCCGACCUGCACGAAUGGCGUAACGACAGCGGCGCUGUCUCCACCCGAGACUCAGUGAAAUUGAAAUCGCUGUGAAGAUGCAGCGUUCCCGUGGCAAGACGGAAAGACCCCGUGAACCUUUACUAUAGCUUUACACUGAACGUUGAGUUCGUCUGUGUAGGAUAGGUGGGAGGCUAUGAAACUGUGGCGCUAGCUGCAGUGGAGCCAACCUUGAAAUACCACCCUGUCGUGCUUGACGUUCUAACCUAGAUCCGUUAUCCGGAUCAGGGACCGUGUAUGGUGGGUAGUUUGACUGGGGCGGUCUCCUCCUAAAGAGUAACGGAGGAGCACGAAGGUACGCUCAGCGCGGUCGGACAUCGCGCACUGUGUGCAAAGGCAUAAGCGUGCUUGACUGCAAGAUCGACGGAUCAAGCAGGUACGAAAGUAGGUCUUAGUGAUCCGGUGGUUCUGUAUGGAAGGGCCAUCGCUCAACGGAUAAAAGGUACUCCGGGGAUAACAGGCUGAUACCGCCCAAGAGUUCAUAUCGACGGCGGUGUUUGGCACCUCGAUGUCGGCUCAUCACAUCCUGGGGCUGUAGUCGGUCCCAAGGGUAUGGCUGUUCGCCAUUUAAAGUGGUACGCGAGCUGGGUUCAGAACGUCGUGAGACAGUUCGGUCCCUAUCUGCCAUGGGCGUUGGAAGUUUGAGAGGGGCUGCUCCUAGUACGAGAGGACCGGAGUGGACGAACCUCUGGUGUUCCGGUUGUCACGCCAGUGGCAUUGCCGGGUAGCUAUGUUCGGAAGCGAUAACCGCUGAAAGCAUCUAAGCGGGAAGCGCGCCUCAAGAUGAGACUUCCCGGGGCACAAGCCCCCUAAAGGAACCAUAUAGACUAUGUGGUUGAUAGGUCAGGUGUGUAAGUACAGCAAUGUAUUGAGCUAACUGAUACUAAUGAUCCGUGCGGCUUGACC